GACGAACGCUGGCGGCGUGCUUAACACAUGCAAGUCGAACGGAAAGGCCCUGCCUUUGUGGGGUGCUCGAGUGGCGAACGGGUGAGUAACACGUGAGUAACCUGCCCUUGACUUUGGGAUAACUUCAGGAAACUGGGGCUAAUACCGGAUAGGAGCUCCUGCUGCAUGGUGGGGGUUGGAAAGUUUCGGCGGUUGGGGAUGGACUCGCGGCUUAUCAGCUUGUUGGUGGGGUAGUGGCUUACCAAGGCUUUGACGGGUAGCCGGCCUGAGAGGGUGACCGGCCCCAUUGGGACUGAGGUACGGCCCAGACUCCUACGGGAGGCAGCAGUGGGAAAUAUUGCACAAUGGGCGGAAGCCUGAUGCAGCAACGCCGCGUGCGGGAUGACGGCCUUCGGGUUGUAAACCGCUUUCGCCUGUGACGAAGCGUGAGUGACGGUAAUGGGUAAAGAAGCACCGGCUAACUACGUG
rnacentral:rRNA from 1 species